rnacentral:rRNA from 1 species
GAUGAACGCUAGCGGCAGGCCUAAUACAUGCAAGUCGAACGGUAACAGAUCUUCGGAUGCUGACGAGUGGCGCACGGGUGAGUAACGCGUACACAAUUUGCCUUUAACAGGGGGAAAGUCGCUGGAAACGGCGAAUAAUCCCGCAUACAAUCUUAUUAUGGCAUCAUAAAAAGAUAAAAGCUUUGGCGGUUAAAGAUGAGUGUGCGUCCCAUUAGCUAGUUGGUAAGGUAACGGCUUACCAAGGCGACGAUGGGUAGGGGGCGUGAGAGCGUGGUCCCCCACACGGGUACUGAGACACGGACCCGACUCCUACGGGAGGCAGCAGUAAGGAAUAUUGGUCAAUGGAGGCAACUCUGAACCAGCCAUGCCGCGUGCGGGAAGAAGGCCCUUUGGGUCGUAAACCGCUUUUAUCAGGGAAGAAUGACUAGGAUUUAUCCUGGGAGCGACGGUAUCUGAUGAAUAAGCACCGGCUAACUCCGUGCCAGCCGCCGCCGUAACAC